UACGAAGGGGGCUAGCGUUGCUCGGAAUCACUGGGCGUAAAGGGUGCGUAGGCGGGUCUUUAAGUCAGGGGUGAAAUCCUGGAGCUCAACUCCAGAACUGCCUUUGAUACUGAAGAUCUUGAGUUCGGGAGAGGUGAGUGGAACUGCGAGUGUAGAGGUGAAAUUCGUAGAUAUUCGCAAGAACACCAGUGGCGAAGGCGGCUCACUGGCUCGGUUCUGACGCUGAGGCGCGAAAGCGUGGGGAGCAAACAGG
rnacentral:rRNA from 1 species